UGGUACAUUGGAUACUACGUUGGUAUAUUCCUAGAGUAUAUUACAUGGCUAAAUACGGCGCAGGGUUUUCGGCAUGGUAUAUUAUUAGUAUAAAAAAUGCAAUGCCUUAUGGUUUGUCAGGUGAAUCAUAAUAUACUUGUCCGAAUCGUCAUGGCACGUGUGACAUGGUAGAUGGUGUCUUUCUAAUGUCUGCGCUAUCAUACUUUCGUAUGGUAGUGAUAAUAGGCGUCUCAUCGGUUUUAGUCGGGUAGUCGGGGAAUACAUGGGUUGCGAUUCUUGAGGAGAGAGCGCGAGAAACGAGGUAUCACAUCACACAGAAGGCACCACGCGCGCGAAUUACCCACUCUCGACACAGAGAGAUAGAGACACUAAAUAUCGCUACGGGGCAUAUUAAGUCUCGUAAUUGGAAUGAGAACAAUUUAAAUACCUUAACGAUGGAGACCAUUAGAGGGCAAGUCUGGUGCCAGCAG
rnacentral:rRNA from 1 species